AGGCAAUUAAUUCCUUACUGAGUUACAAUUAUCCUUCAAGGAUAUAACAAAUGAGAUACAUUAAAAUAUUUAAGUUUGAUUAUGUUUCAAUACAUAAUCAAAAUAUAUACACCACACAACCUAAGUACUUCACUCACUCCUGAAAUCUUCUGAAUCUUUCUCCUUAGGAGACAAUCAACAUUAAUACAAUUAUAGAAAAAUUCUAAGGAGAAGCAAUCACACUUUUAUGCACAUUAAAUAGUAUUUUCAAAACUUUUUGGAGAGUACAUCUGAUGACUAUGCAGAGUUCUCCCCACACACUUAGUUUCAGGUUCUCUCCAUCUUAUGUUCCUACUGCUCCACACUUACUCAAUCAGUACAUUAUUUUGCUUUUUGCUUUACCAAAAUGGAACUGCUAAUUUGAGUUUCCUGUCUCCUCAUAUUUGCCCUCCAAAACAAUUCAUUGAAUCCAAGACUUAAUAGUAGUCAAUGGUUACAGCUACUUUUUUUUUUUCUAACCCAUAUUUCUUUUUUCUCUACUCUUUAUGUCAAAAUUUCCCAAAAGUCCCAUUUUGUAGGGCACUGUAUCUGCUGUAAGAGAGACACACCUCACUGCAGGGUAAAUUUCCAGGUAGGGAAGUCACACAUACUGUCCCUCAAAUGGGAAUGUGACUUUCUUUAAGCAAUAAAAGGGGAACAGAGGUGAAUUCUGUCGAUCCAAGCUGGAGUUUAAAAAGCUAUAGUGCUGUAAUUCACCACACGCUCUUUCCUUCUUUUCCUUCUAUGUGACCUACUGAAAAACCCCACCCCUCAAGGCAGUAAUGGGUUGAUGCUCACACAGUGCCUGCUCCAUCAGCUUGAGCCCAGAAAGCCCCUGAUGAAGGCAGAGGACUUGAAUUUAGAAAUUACCCAUAUUUACAUGAAAAGAGAAUGUUAAGGCAGAAGAACCAGAUCAAGUGGGCAAAUUUAACUACUACACAACUACUCAGAAGGAUGUAGGUUACGAAGUUUAUAUGAUUUACAGAGAAGUAUGGGUGUGAACUUCAAUACACACUCAUGCCUACUCCUACCCAAUGUACUGUUUGCUAAGGCCUCAAAAAAGGAAAAAGCUCUUUCUUGUUUUUUUAAUCCAGGGAGACAGGAGCUUCAUUCUACUUGUUCCAACACUGACAUACUCAAUAAAUGUUAAGCAAAUGAAUGGGAACAAGGGAUGCAAAGGGUCUCACAGUAAAGUUUGAGAAAAAUUAUACACACCAAAUUUGAAUAAUAUAAAGUUUUAGAAACAGCAAAUCGACUUUUAAAAAUCAAAGUAGUAUAUACACAUAGUUAAAGGUCAAAUAGUACUAAAAUCCCACAGUGAAAACAGCAGUCCUCUGCCCAACCACCUCAAGCCCUACUCCUCAGAUCCAACUUUUUGCCACUCUUUUAGUACACUUUUCUGGUGUUUACCUUCAUUAUUCCAAAUAUGUUGAUGUUCUUAUUUAACCAAUUCACAGUUCUAUCCAUUACCUAUUUACUUCACACUUCGGAAGAUAAGGAUUUAAGUCUCUUACUAUCACCCUCCCCCCCACCUUCCCAUCCCACCAGCUUUCUAAUAGACUUGGCACAAUUUUUAGCAAAAUCAGUAUUUAAAUUGAAAGCUAUGUAACUAUUGUUCUCCACUGAGCCACGUAAUUGUCCUAUGUUUGUUAACUUUCUUGUACACCUUUUUAUCUUUACUAUGAUAUAAUUCCUGAACCUUGUUUGGAUUAUCUUUAUUUUAGUUACACCCUUCAUUGUGUUUGGCUGAAUACAGAUUUACAAGACGACAAUCAUCUCCUCUAAGAAUUUAAAGAAUAUCCUUCUUCUACCUUCUUUCUUAUAAUCCUAUUAUUGUGAAGUCAGACACCAUUCUCUUUCUGAUUUUUUCAUGAUUUAUCUGUUCUUUUUCUCAAUCUUCCAACCUCCACCCCAUUAGAAGCUUCGAAAAUUUUCUCUUUAGCAUCCAGUUUGAAACUUUUACUGAUAUACCCUAAUUUGUGUCUUUUCUCAUUCAUUCUCUUAAGCAUUUUUCAUUCAGUUUGCUAGGUCAUUUUAAUCUAAAGAUUUAUGAAUUACACUAUUAAUAAAUAAAAUUACGUAUUUCUUUGAUAAUUUUCUCCCCAAUUAUCUCUAUCUUUUCUUUACCUCCUACAUGUGGAUGUUGGAUUUGCUGGAAUGCUCCUCAAAUACUCCUACCAUUUCCUUUCUAUUGUCUCUGUUUUAUUUUCAUCCUCUUAGAGAUUUCCUCAACUUUUCCAUUCAGCAUUUUCUAUUUUCUAUUCCUCUCUACUGAGUUCCAAUUGAGAAGUUCCAACUCAGUUCCCUUUACAUUUUUCUUUCUUAAAAAUUCUUUUCAAGUCAGACACCUCCCUAAAUCAUGGGGGCUUUUCAAUUCUCUAGAAAAGAAUCUGCCUGUCUCCUGAAAGGUUGGGAUAUAUUGCCAGUGUUCUGGGAACGGCAGGCAGAGGCGGCUGGGGCAGACUCCCACACUGAUUCCCCAGCUUCAGGCCCAUAUGGCAUCCCUAAUUUCCGUGGUCCUGGUACCACCAAGCUUGAGCCCGUCAUGUGGCUUUUGAGGCUGCUCAGCUUGCCUCGCAUGGGCUUGCCUCUCGAAGGCAGUAAAACAACAACUGCUAGAGUUAUACUAAAUCUGUUAUCAGUCCUCUAGCUUCCACUUUCCAAAUAUGUGUUCAUCUCCUGCUUGCUGUGGAAUCUCUCCUAUUUUCUUUAUCUUUGCAGGUUUAUAACUUCUAAAAUUCCUUUUCCAUCCUUUUUAGAGGGAUUUGGGAAGUAAAGAAGACAAAAAUCAUGUACUCAAUCUGCCACAUUGAACUUGAAGUCCCAGAAAUACAAUUUUAAGGUAGAUUACCUGGUGAUUAUGUAGUUCAAUUUCCUCAUUUAUAAAAUAGCUGAGGAAAGAAAUAAGGUAGGUUAAGUGCUCUGCUAGAAGUUCCUUGUCCAAGUUCAGAGCAGAACCAGGGAUAAAAUGUCUCCUAUCUAUUAGUUUGGUGCUUUUUCAAUUCCUAACAUAAUGUCUUGAAAGAAAAGUAUUUUGUAGGCCUUCUGCACUAGGGACAAGAAAUCUGUCAUUGAACCAUCCAUUAAUUAUGUAAUUAAAAAGGAAACUAAUAACUCAUAUACUGAAUGCCAUGUGUCAAAAAUAAUGACCACCAAGGCAGUGAGGGAAGGGGAGGUCCCUAAGGGCGAGCUAGGGCAGUUUCUAAAGGUCCAGGACGCCGCUAAGAUUCGCAUUAGGGCUUCUGGCAGGAACUCCAGGUAAGGGGUGAACAAAGGCAGUACGCUGGCAGAGGCUCUAGGUCAAAGCACACUUCCGCCGAGGCUACUUCCAAGAAAGAGAGAACACACAGCUGCCACGGCCCGCAUUCUGCUGAGUACCCUGGACACAUCAGUCACCGUCUGUCUGUCAUCUGUGCCAGCCAAUGGGAUUAUAUCGGCUCUUAACCUUUCUGCAUUGUGCUGUGCAAUCCUUCAGUAGUUUUUCAUUUAUUAUAGUUUCAUUAAUCGAUAGCCAUUUUCCAACUAUACACUCUGAAAUUUAUGAUACAGCCUCAAGAUUUCUAGGUAAGUCACCGUGUUUAAGACUCAAACAGUAAACAGAAUAAAAAUAUGAUGAGCAAAAAAAUUGAGUGGCACCAAAAACAUCUAAAAUGUUGGUAGUUUUCUUUGUUUCUAUGUCAUAGGUCCAAGGAAUCGGAAAGCAGGAAGAAACAACUCUCAAUAGCGGAAGUGUAAAAUAAUGUAUACUUUCUCUUCUAACACCACAGUGAAAAAUCGUUCCGUGAGUCCUGCAAACCCCAGCACAGAGCAAGAGAACUGGUAUUCUGUAAGAGAAAUUCUCAAAAUAGGGCAUCAUGGAAGAAUUUGUACAAUGUGUCUGGAGACCUGGCUUCAAGGCCUGCCUGUAAAAAUGACUGCCAUUUACCUUGAGUGGGACCUUCAGGAAGAUGGCACAUGCUGUGGAGACACAGACUUCAAAGUCAGAGAGCUGAGUUCAAAUAGAAAAACCAAGUCUUUGAUAUGACAACCUUAAAAUAUUUAAAGUCAACUAUAGAAGUCCUUCCUGAAUCUUCCUACAGAGAAUGAGACGGAAUAUGGAUUUGGAAUCAAGACAGAUCAGUCUGAAUGGUGGUUUGCCAGGUCAAAAUAAAGACCUGGUCUGUCUGACACCUUAUUUAAUGUCUUCUGUGUCUUGGAAUGCUGAAAUAUCUCUCUCUGUGCACUGUCACGUCUCUGGCUGACGGCAGCUUUGCCCUGGCAACAAUGAUUAUUAAGCAGAUCUGCUUCAGAGCACGGAAGUAAACCAGGAGGGCAAGGAAAAUGAAAAUAAAGUAGUGGGGGGGAUACAAUACUAAAUCUGAAAGGGGAACUAUUUUUUCCACUCUUCAAUUAUAAUAAAUACCUGCCUUUAAAUGUGCUUCUUUUAACUCUCUUUUUAGAAAAAUAUAUGUAGACUUGUGAUGGCUAAUUUACUUUUCCUUCCUGUUUUCUUUCUGUUCCAGUAAUCUGACCACAGAUUGUCAUACUUGUCAACAGCUCUCCUCAAGGGGGAGGGAAAUGCUGCAUCAUCAGUGAUGUUUAUAAUUCCUUUUACAGUAAUAGAGUAUCUGCUCAGUGAUUAAUAAUCCAAAAUACAGUAUAACAGAGCCAAACAAAUGGCCCCAGUGUAAGAAAGCAGCAUAGGAAACAAGUUUGGACAUAGUGCUGUACCUGCCAAAAUAAAGAAAAGCAACAUGUUUUAUGGGCAGAGCACUGAGGGGUACAUUUAAAGAUCUAGUGUCUAGUCAGGAAUGGCAGUAGACAUUUUUUUCUUCUGAGAAACCUGAUUACAUUACUUAAGUCAUUUUUCUGUUGUCUUAUUAAUUGAAGAUCGCUUUCUAGUAGCUGCUUUCUAUCCUGCUGUUCAACUGACUGCAGUUCUUCUGGACUUGUUAUAUCAUCAAAAAUGAUAGUCAGUGUCCAUGCUAUUCACCCAGACCUCUAUAACUUUUCAUCUUAAACCCCUGCAUUUCAAAAACAGACAGAAGAAUGCUCUUUACAGUUUAUCCACCAAGUGCAUCAACUGGUAUAAUUACCUGAAUGAUACUUUUAUUCUCAGUCACUCGAUGCAUUUCAAAAGUACCAGGAACAGAAAUAUCACUGGCCUAGCCAGGGUUUCUGUGGAUUUUAACUCUUUCCAAUAAUACGUCCCUGAAACUUUGGGGAAAAGAAUGAUUGGACAUGGAUUCCUUGAAUAACUUUGAAAACAACUAGACUGGUUUUGAUAGAAAGCAAAUGAAAUUUCCCAUGGACAGUACUUCUGGAAUACUAGUAAUGUUCUAUUUCUUGAUCUGGGUGGCGUUUCCAUGGGAGUUUAUAGCUAUUUCUUUAAACCACCUAAGCUCUGUGCAUGCAUCUGUAUGUAUGACAUGUAUCACAAUGAAAAAGUAAUGAAAAAAAUUUAAAAGAUCUUUAGAAAUUAGGUACACUUCUUCAGAGAUUCAGGGAGUUGGAGUGGAUAUUUUAAGAAUUAUUCCAGACCUCUGAUCUGUAUUUAUUACAUAUUAGACAAUCCAUCAUAGUCAACUCUCCAUGUUAAAGAAUAUUUAAAGGUGAAAAACCAGAAACCCCUCCAUCUUAAUCAAGAUUUUUAAUUAAGAAUUAAAGAUAUUCAUGAUAUAUGUGUUAACGCUAAUAGCUUCUAAUAUGAAGCAGAAGCUACAACUUUGCUCUCUCCUCACUAUUUUCUUCUUAUUUUUAUUUACUUAUCAUUAACAGAAACUCAUGAAACUAUUCCCUUUGAACUCACAAUAAAUUAAAAACAAAAGCAGACAUUUACCUUGAGAGUGCAUCAAAAUAAUACUAGAUUUCUCUUUUAUAUAGUAAUUAUCAUUCAACUAAAAUCUUAGGAGUUGACAUGUUUUUCUGUCACAUAUGAAGAAAACAAAAGUUAAAUUAUUAAAUCAAAUUCAUAUAUUUUAUUCCCUUCUCUUCAUUAUAUUCAGCUGAAUUUAUCUUUUUACUUUUUAUUAUCUAGUAAUUGACAUUUUAGUAGGAACAAUAUAAAAAUGUAUUUAAAUGUAGAAAAUGACACAAAAAAUAAAGUUAAGCAUUUGUGUUAUUAAUAUUCUUCUCCUUUUUGGGAAGUAAUUCACAUCCAAAGAACAUAAUGGUCAUUCCUGAAAACUGCUAUAAAGUAAAAAUGGUGAGAUCAUAAGUAGACUUAAAAAGACUUUACCAGAAACAGACAUUUCUCCAAAGAAGAAAUACAAAUGGCCAACAGGCACCUGAAAAGAUGCUCCACAUUGCUAAUCAUCAGGGAAAUGCAAAUUAAAACCACAAUGAGACAUAACCUCACACCAGUUAGAAUGGCCACUAUCCAAAAGACAAAAAAUAAAUUGUUGGAGAGGAUGUGGAGAAAUGGGAACCUUCUUAUAUUGCCGAUGGGAAUGCCAAUUGGUUCAGCUUCUGUGGAAAGCAGUAUAGAGGUUCCUCAAAUAAACUAAAAAUAGAAAUACCAUUUGACCCAGUAAUUCCACUCCUAGAAAUUUCCCAAAGAAAACAAAAUCCCCGAUUCAAAAAGACUUAUCACCCCUAUGUUUAUUGCCACACUAUUUACAAUAGCCAAGAUAUGGAAGCAACCUAAGUGUGCAUCAAUAGAUGAACAGAUAAAGAAGAUGUGGUAUACAUACAAACGGAAUAUUAUUCAGCCAUAAAAAGAAAAGAAAUUCACCAUUUGCAACAACAUGAAUUAAGCUAGAGGGCAUUAUGCUCAGUAAAAUAGAAAAACAAAGUAAAACAGAAGCAACAAAACAGCAGCAGAAUCAUAGACACUGAGAAGUGACUAGUGGUUACCUAAGGGGAGGAGAUGGGGUGGGUGGGAGUGGUGGUGAGGUGGAUAAAGGGGCACACACACACACACACACACAAAGACUCUACCAGAAACAGCAGGAAAAUGCCAUUAUUUUUAAAGGCAAUGAUUAUUAAUCUGUAAAUUGAUGAUACUUAAUUUGUUCAAUCAAAUGGAAAAGAUGGCAAACAGUUUUAAAACUGUAGGAAUGAACUCACUAUGAUCAAUUUCUUCCCAUAUUAGGAGUGGGCAAACAAACAAAGCAUGUGCAACUAAAUAUUCACAAUGUAUUUUCUUUUUAAAUAUUGCUUUCAAAUGUUUAUAUCAUUUUUCCAAGAAAAGCAACAAAUAACUAUUCUAAUUCCUAUAAACACAUGAUGACAUCAUCUACACAAAAUAUUACUUAGGGCCAUGGCAUUUUUUUCAGUGUUACAUUAUAAUUUAAGGUGAGCCACAUAAUGGAUUGCACUAUAAGGAAUCACAAAGAUCUUCAAAUGACUUAUAUAAUUCCAUUUUGCAGUUUAAAAGUGCAUAUACGAUUAUGUUGUUUUUCUAUUUGUCUCUUAUAUUUCUUCUGAUUCAUUCUAAAUGUGGUUCAGAAUCCUGCUGUCUUUGGUUGAGAAAAAUAGAAUAGUGAAAGAGAGGAGGCUAGUUAUUAAUGUACCUUUUACAUUUUAUUUUAUUUAAUUGAAAAGAAUGCAUUAUGUUAUUUAAAUUAACCCCUUAUAUUACAUUUUCUGCUUUCAUUUCAUUUAGGUAUCAGAAAAGAAAGAAGUGUAUUUGUAAACUGAAAUUAUGAGAAAUAUUGCAACAUUAAACAAUUUAUUUGGUUAAAAAGUACAACACAGUUAUUGAAACAUUUUUUUCAGACACUGUGUUAGCCUCUAGAAAAGCAAAGAUGAAUAGAAAUGAUGCUUACCGGGCUUUUACUGGGACAGGGAGUGGUGGCAUUUUGGAAAUAGAGGAAAGAUCAAUGUUGCAAGGCAAUGUGAGAAGGUCUAUCAUAGAAGCAAAUGCAACAUGCAGUGUGGUACUAAAGGGUGAAGCGAGGGGGGAGUGGGGGGAUCAGGAAAGCAUUCCAAAAUAUGUAAUAAUUAGUGAAUUCUUAAUCGGAAGUAUGAAAGUGAAGGCAUAUUAGGGAAUGACAGUCCAUCUUGUACCUCUGGUAUAGCCCUGGGGAGGGAGAAGAGGGAAAGCGUGCCA